rnacentral:misc_RNA from 1 species
CGCACAUUGCGCCCACUAGUAUUCUGGCGGGCAUGCCUGUUCGAGCGUCAUUUCAAACUUCAAGCAUUGCUUGGUGUUGGAGCUAGCGAAUUUCGCGGCUCUCAAAACUAUUGGCAGAUCUAUGAUGAUCUAGACUUAGUAAUUUUUCUAGUCUUUGAUUACAUUGUAUGGUUUUGCCUCAAACCUUCCAGUUCUUCUGGAAGAUCUCAAAUAAGUUUGACCUCGGAUCAGGUAGGAAUACCCGCUGAACUUAA